GCAAACUUGGUCAUUUAGAGGAAGUAAAAGUCGUAACAAGGUUUCCGUAGGUGAACCUGCGGAAGGAUCAUUACAAGAACAUGGCUUCGGCCGUCUUCUCUCACCAUUGUGUACCAAACUUUUUGUUGCCUCGGCGGGCCGGGCGCCCACCGGCGUCCCCCAUCUCGGGAGCCGCUCGCCGAUGGACCUUUCAAACCAAUUCGUUGAUGAACGUCUGAUUUUAUUUUUUAAAAGAAAUACAACUUUCAACAAUGGAUCUCUUGGCUCUGGCAUCGAUGAAGAACGCAGC
rnacentral:misc_RNA from 1 species